rnacentral:rRNA from 1 species
CCUACGGGAGGCAGCAGUGGGGAAUAUUGCACAAUGGGCGAAAGCCUGAUGCAGCGACGCCGCGUGAGGGAUGACGGCCUUCGGGUUGUAAACCUCUUUCAGCAGGGAAGAAGCGAAAGUGACGGUACCUGCAGAAGAAGCGCCGGCUAACUACGUGCCAGCAGCCGCGGUAAUACGUAGGGCGCAAGCGUUGUCCGGAAUUAUUGGGCGUAAAGAGCUCGUAGGCGGCUUGUCACGUCGGGUGUGAAAGCCCGGGGCUUAACCCCGGGUCUGCAUUCGAUACGGGCUAGCUAGAGUGUGGUAGGGGAGAUCGGAAUUCCUGGUGUAGCGGUGAAAUGCGCAGAUAUCAGGAGGAACACCGGUGGCGAAGGCGGAUCUCUGGGCCAUUACUGACGCUGAGGAGCGAAAGCGUGGGGAGCGAACAGGAUUAGAUACCCUGGUAGUCCACGCCGUAAACGGUGGGAACUAGGUGUUGGCGACAUUCCACGUCGUCGGUGCCGCAGCUACGACAUUAAGUUACCCGUCCCGUCGGGAGGUACGGCCGCGAGACGUAAACUAACAAAGGAAGUAGACGGCGNGAGACGUGCCGACGACGACACGAGGGAGGUAGG